GACGAACGCUGGCGGUGUGCUUAACACAUGCAAGUCGAACGGUAAGGCCCUUUCGGGGGUACACGAGUGGCGAACGGGUGAGUAACACGUGAGUAACCUGCCCUCAUCUCUGGGAUAACAGUCGGAAACGAUUGCUAAUACUGGAUAUGAGCUUGCAAGGCAUCUUGUGGGUUGGAAAGAUUUUUUUUGGUUGGGGAUGGACUCGCGGCCUAUCAGCUUGUUGGUGAGGUAGUGGCUCACCAAGGCUUCGACGGGUAGCCGGCCUGAGAGGGCGACCGGCCACAUUGGGACUGAGAUACGGCCCAAACUCCUACGGGAGGCAGCAGUGGGGAAUAUUGCACAAUGGACGGAAGUCUGAUGCAGCAACGCCGCGUGCGGGAUGACGGCCUUCGGGUUGUAAACCGCUUUCAAUUGUGACGAAGCUUUUUUGUGACGGUAGCAGUAGAAGAAGCACCGGCUAACUACGUG
rnacentral:rRNA from 1 species